GGGGGGGGGGGGCUAAUACAUGCAAGUCGAACGCUUCUUUUCCCACCGGAGCUUGCUCCACCGGGAAAAGAGGAGUGGCGAACGGGUGAGUAACACGUGGGUAACCUGCCCAUCAGAAGGGGAUAACACUUGGAAACAGGUGCUAAUACCGUAUAACAAUCGAAACCGCAGGGUUUCGUUUUGAAAGGCGCUUUACGGUGCCGCUGAUGGAUGGACCCGCGGUGCAUUAGCUAGUUGGUGAGGUAACGGCUCACCAAGGCCACGAUGCAUAGCCGACCUGAGAGGGUGAUCGGCCACAUUGGGACUGAGACACGGCCCAAACUCCUACGGGAGGCAGCAGUAGGGAAUCUUCGGCAAUGGACGAAAGUCUGACCGAGCAACGCCGCGUGAGUGAAGAAGGUUUUCGGAUCGUAAAACUCUGUUGUUAGAGAAGAACAAGGGUGAGAGUAACUGUUCACCCCUUGACGGUAUCUAACCAGAAAGCCACGGCUAACUACGUGCCAGCAGCCGCGGUAAUACGUAGGUGGCAAGCGUUGUCCGGAUUUAUUGGGCGUAAAGCGAGCGCAGGCGGUUUCUUAAGUCUGAUGUGAAAGCCCCCGGCUCAACCGGGGAGGGUCAUUGGAAACUGGGAGACUUGAGUGCAGAAGAGGAGAGUGGAAUUCCAUGUGUAGCGGUGAAAUGCGUAGAUAUAUGGAGGAACACCAGUGGCGAAGGCGGCUCUCUGGUCUGUAACUGACGCUGAGGCUCGAAAGCGUGGGGAGCAAACAGGAUUAGAUACCCUGGUAGUCCACGCCGCAAACGAUGAGUGCUAAGUGUUGGAGGGUUUCCGCCCUUCAGUGCUGCAGCUAACGCAUUAGGCACUCCGCCUGGGGAGUACGACCGCAGGGUUGAAACUCAAAGGAAUUGACGGGGGCCCGCACAACCGAUGAAGCAUGUGGUUUAGUUCUAAGCAACGCGAAAAACCUUACCAGGUCUUGACGUCCUUUGACCACUCUAGAGAUAGAGCUUCCCCUUCCGGGGCCAAAGUGACAGGUGGUGCAUGGUUGUCGCCAGCUCCGGUCCGAAAAUGUUGGUUUAAUUCCCGCAACGAACGCCAACCCUUAAUGUUAAUUGCCAUCGUUUAGUUGGGGCCUUUUAGCAAGAAUGCCUGGUGAAAAAACCGGAAAAAAAGUGGGGGAUGGACGCCAAUUCGUAAGGGCCCUUUAGGACCUGGGCCCACCAACUG
rnacentral:rRNA from 1 species